rnacentral:sRNA from 1 species
GGUUCGAUGUGGGGAGAGCCAGUUAGAGAUGUGUGUGAUUCUCCCAGUGUGCGUCUUUGAUUCAUGUGCUAAUUAUGUCGAUCCUUUGGGGAACACAGCCAGGAAGCUGGGUCCUCCUUGAUUAAUGCUGGCGGAGAGCCAUGCAGCGCGCAGCGGAGAGCAGUUCAGCAUCUCUAGUCCCAGCUGAGAAUAUGGUCCCAUUAUCUCCCAGCUGCCUAAGCAAUCCAUAAGGGCCUGUUCUGCGUGGAUGAUCAGUGUAGUGGAAGCAGGGACUUGCUGAGAGCUGAAAUCUCUGUUUGAUUUGCUGUAACAUGUAAAGCGAAACUGGGACAUUUUACUUUACAGCCUAUUAAAGGUUAUACAAAACUUAGAAGAAGCAGCGAUUCUAUUCACUUGUUAUUGGACUUGAAACUCCCUUUGACCUUGGAAACUGAAGAUGAGGUUGCCAUGGGAACUGCUGGUACUGCAAUCAUUCAUGUUGUGCCUUGCAGAUGAUUCCACACUGCAUGGCCCGAUUUUUAUUCAAGAACCAAGUCCUGUAAUGUUCCCUUUGGAUUCUGAGGAGAAAAAAGUGAAGCUCAAUUGUGAAGUUAAAGGAAAUCCAAAACCUCAUAUCAGGUGGAAGUUAAAUGGAACAGAUGUUGACACUGGUAUGGAUUUCCGCUACAGUGUUGUUGAAGGCAGCUUGUUGAUCAAUAACCCCAAUAAAACCCAAGAUGCUGGAACGUACCAGUGCACAGCAACAAACUCGUUUGGAACAAUUGUUAGCAGAGAAGCAAAGCUUCAGUUUGCUUAUCUUGACAACUUUAAAACAAGAACAAGAAGCACUGUGUCUGUUCGUCGAGGUCAAGGAAUGGUGCUACUGUGUGGCCCGCCACCCCAUUCUGGAGAGCUGAGUUAUGCCUGGAUCUUCAAUGAAUACCCUUCCUAUCAGGAUAAUCGCCGCUUUGUUUCUCAAGAGACUGGGAAUCUGUAUAUUGCCAAAGUAGAAAAAUCAGAUGUUGGGAAUUAUACCUGUGUGGUUACCAAUACUGUGACAAACCACAAGGUCCUGGGGCCACCUACACCACUAAUAUUGAGAAAUGAUGGAGUGAUGGGUGAAUAUGAGCCCAAAAUAGAAGUGCAGUUCCCAGAAACAGUUCCGACUGCAAAAGGAGCAACGGUGAAGCUGGAAUGCUUUGCUUUAGGAAAUCCAGUACCAACUAUUAUCUGGCGAAGAGCUGAUGGAAAGCCGAUAGCAAGGAAAGCCAGAAGACACAAGUCAAAUGGAAUUCUUGAGAUCCCUAAUUUUCAGCAGGAGGAUGCUGGUUUAUAUGAAUGUGUGGCUGAAAAUUCCAGAGGGAAAAAUGUAGCAAGGGGACAGCUAACUUUCUAUGCUCAACCUAAUUGGAUUCAAAAAAUAAAUGAUAUUCACGUGGCCAUGGAAGAAAAUGUCUUUUGGGAAUGUAAAGCAAAUGGAAGGCCUAAGCCUACAUACAGGUGGCUAAAAAAUGGCGAACCUCUGCUAACUCGGGAUAGAAUUCAAAUUGAGCAAGGAACACUCAACAUAACAAUAGUGAACCUCUCGGAUGCUGGCAUGUAUCAGUGUUUGGCAGAGAAUAAACAUGGAGUUAUCUUUUCCAACGCAGAGCUUAAUGUUAUAGCUGUAGGUCCAGAUUUUUCAAGAACACUCUUGAAAAGAGUAACUCUUGUCAAAGUGGGAGGUGAAGUUGUCAUUGAGUGUAAGCCAAAAGCGUCUCCAAAACCUGUUUACACCUGGAAGAAAGGAAGGGAUAUAUUAAAAGAAAAUGAAAGAAUUACCAUUUCUGAAGAUGGAAACCUCAGAAUCAUCAACGUUACUAAAUCAGACGCUGGGAGUUAUACCUGUAUAGCCAGUAACCAUUUUGGAACUGCUAGCAGUACUGGAAACUUGGUAGUGAAAGGUAAUGGCUAACCCAAAGAAUUCGAAUAUUAAUAUAUGUGUCCUCAUGUCUAAUAAUGCAAUCUAUAGAAGUGGCAUCAUUCAUAUUAAUAUGUACAGAUAUCACUGUAUUGCUAAAUUAAUUCAUCACGGCAAACAUGAUAUGAUUAGUAAUUCUUAGAAAACUGCCGAUAAUGAAUAUGAUUGAAAGGCUAUCUUAUUUCAGAAUCAUCCAAUACAAUUUUGAGAAUUAUAGCCAUAGUAUCUAUUAUAGUAUUGUAACUAAUGUUAUCUUCAAUCCUUUAAUUAAAUUUCUUUCAAGUCUCUAUAGAUUUGAAAUUCAUGUCUAGGAACACUGUUCCAACAAAUUAAAAACUCAAGACUCAUGUACUAUUUUUAGCAAACAUUGUUUAAACAAUGACAUUGGUAAUUUUUAAGAUAGCUGUCCCGUUUAUUCAGAGAUAUGAAUAUGGCUUAUUAUACUAAUAAAAGGCUUUUUGAUCACCUCUGUGCUUUGCGUUAGUCACCCAGCCAACCUUGUCGGUUUUAAGGAAAUAAAAUUCCC